rnacentral:misc_RNA from 1 species
UCCGGCUUACACCGGCGGUCUCCUAUGAGUUCCCGACUUUACUCGCUGGCAACAUGGGACGAGGGUUGCGCUCGUUGGCGGACUUAACCGUACACCUCACGGCACGAGCUGACGACAGCCAUGCAACAUCUGUCUUUGAGUCUCCUUGUGGGAGAGGGCCGCUUUUCUUCGGCUUACUCGCGAUGUCAAACCUGGGUAAGGUUCUUCGGUUAGUAUCGAAUUAAUCCACAUGCUCCACCGCUUGUGCGGGUCCCCGUCAAUUCAUUUGAGUUUCAACCUUGCGGCCGUAGUCCCCAGGCGGGAUGCUUAAUGCGUUAGCUGCGACACAAGAGGGGUCGAUACCUCUUACGUCUAGCAUCCAUCGUUUAGGGCGUGGACUAC